AGAAUUCAGUAUAGUAGUAAGUGCGUUUCGAUUAAAAGUUUAAAAAUAGAAUAUUGUCAAUCGCCAUUAGCAGAGAUCUUUCGAAAACAAAAAAGAUGGUGAAAGUUUUGUACCAUGAAAACCUGUAGCGAACAUACCGCAACAGAAUCAAUGCGGUGUACAAGAAACAGGUUGUCAGCCACACCUUUCUCGACUCGCAUUUGGAGCUUAUGGACAUCCAUAUGGCCAAAAUAGACCUGUGGCAACUUGGGCAGUCGUAAGACUUGGUAAUACACUUCCAGAUUAUGGUGAAACACAAACACAAGGAGAAACAGUCAACAUAAGUGAUUAUGGUGAAACACAAACACAAGGAGAAACAGUCAACAUAAGUGAUUAUGGUGAAACACAAACACAAGGAGAAACAGUCAGCAUAAGUGCUGAAGGAGAAAGGAGAUCAUCUAGGUCAUUAUAACAUACAUGUAGACAUGUGGAAACUGAGGAGGAAUUGGCAAUACAAUAAAGUGGUACUGAACUGAUGAAGACAGAUACUAAGAGAGUUUUUUUUUAAAGAAAGAUCUGGAAAAAAAUGUCGAGAAACACAUUAUUUUAUUAUAUUUUUAUAAGAAAUACCUGUACUGUCACAUGUUUAUUUUAUAUCUAUAUUUUGGUGUUCUCAUUCUUUCACACCAGUUUUAGUUUAUUUGGAUUUUUGCGUGAAUGCUCAUGAUUCUCUGCUUUACGUGUAAACCUAUUUUGUUUUAUGACAUUUUAGCUCACCUGAGCACAAAGUGCUCCUGUUGAGGUAUUGUGAUCACGCUGUGUUUGAAAAAUCUUCAAACGACAUGUGGAACCAAAAUUUGUAGACCUGUUUGGCGCCAUAUAACCUAUACUGUGUUGGUGCGCCGUAAAACCCAAAUCAAUCUGCCAAGAUUGUUCAAAUUAUUCCGAUUCUUCAAAAAAUAUGGCUGCAAGGGGGCGUGGUCACUCCCUAUAGGUAUAUAGUAGAAAUCUAAAUAAUGUUCUUGUGUGAAACUGCUGGCCCGAUUUUAAAGUAGUUUUGCACAAAUGGACCUUCUGUGACCCUCUACCAAUACUGUUCAAAUUAUUCUUGUUCGUUAAAAAACAUGGCCGACAGUGGGCAUGGUCACUUUUCAUCAACAAUUUCUUUAAACAACAUCUCCAAAACCACUCAAUGGAUUUUGAUGAAACUUUACACAAACGAUCUCUGUGUAGCCCUUUUUCAAAGUUGUUCAAUGGUUCCGGUUCCUUAGGUUAUUUUGGUUAAAAAUACAUUUUCAGCUACCAUACUAUAAAAAUCUUCUUCUCUUGAACUAAAAUAUUUGGCAUGUGAUAUAAGGGUUCAACUCUCUACCAUUAUUGACCAAAUUAUUGCCCUAGGUCAAAUAUGGCCACGCCCCUUUAUGUAACAUAUACUUACUAUAGGAUUUUAUAUAAGAAACUUUAAAAAUCUUCUUCGUUGAAUCAGUAAUAGCUAGAGCCUUGAUUUUUGGCGUAUGAUAUCAGAGUUGUACUGUCUUACUAUUGCCCUAGGUUAAAGAAUGUGUGUGACGGCUAACAUAGCAGAAACCUAUCAAUAUUUGUACCAUAUUGUUAUACAAACACACUUAAAGUCUUAUAUAGAGGUGAGGGCUUUAGAGUCAAUGACGCCCUUGUUUCUGAAGUCUGUGAUUGAAUGUUUAAUCUUGUUUUACCAGAAUUGCAUGUACACAAUAGGUUAUUCAUAGAGAUGCUGUUGAUAACAUGCUAUUGAUGCUAAGGUUGUGUGUCUUGAAUAAAUAUGUAUAUUUUAAUUGCAGACUGUGAUAUAUAAACUGUGAUAUUUAAGCACACCCUAGAACCAAUGGCUUAGAUGUGCUGUUGAGAUCUACAGGCAGAUGAUAAGUCAUCCGUUGACAGUCGUUGACAUUCUCCUUUAAACAAGCUUUUUGUAGAUUUUCACCCAAAUUGCAUAACCUCAAGUGACAGGGUGAGCUUUUGUGAUUGCAAUUUGUCCAUCCGUCGUCCUUCUGUUCACAUUUUAGCUCAACUGAGCACAAAGUACUCAAAGGUGAGCUUUUGUGAUCGACCUGUGUCCGUCGUCGUCGUCAACAAUUUGACUGUUAACACUCUAGAGGUCACAAUUUUGAGCCAAUC
rnacentral:lncRNA from 1 species